CAUAACUUUAUAGGCUGAACUCU
rnacentral:piRNA from 1 species